ACAGGGCGUGUUCUAUUUGCUGUUUUGUGGCCUGGCGGUGGGUGUUGUCGUUGCAGUUUGUGAAAUCUACUGGCAGAACACGCAUCCCGUCAAGGAGAGCGAACAGUCCGUACCACUGGAGAAAGACCUGUCCCAGGAAUUUACAGACCAUGCGUUUUUAAGAGAGUGUCUACAAAAAGCCGAGAUAGGAGAGAUUCGAGUCGUCAUCCAAAAGAUCGAGCCAAGCAACACGGACAGGAAUCCGUAACAAGACUAUUGUUGCGUUGUUACAUGAUGAGUGCUUUAUUCUAGAUACAUAUCAGACCCAUUC